AGAAAUAACAAACAUUAUGACAUUACAGAAUAGUCAUUCAGAUCAUUGAAUCAUAAAUGAUCAAUUCAUAUCUAAAACUACAGAACUGUUAUUCAACAGGAAGAAAAUACACAUUACCUAAACUAGAGUUAUUCAAAAUAGAAAACCAAACAAGAUCAUGAGAAUCAACAAAGAAAUACAAAUUAAAGAAAACCAAAACAAACUUCUAUAAAAGAACUCACUAACAACAACACAAGACCUGAUGUGAAGAAUAGAGAAGCAGUGAUUGGCCGACGAAUAGGGGAGCAGCAGAAUGGAAGAAAAUGAAAGUCGGCGAAACCCUAAAUCGGAAGAGCAGAAUGAACAAUCGUGAAUGAGAGAACUUUAAAGGAAAUUAAACUGAAAAAUACCUAUAAGUGGAAUGCCCAAUCAAUCCUCACAAGCUGCCUUAUAUAAGACAUUAGUUGGAUACUUCAUCGGAUAUAUUGGAUCCUAUUAACCUGGUACUGUUUCCUCUUUCAGAUCCUCCCGCAAGUUCAACAGGGAGUAAACUAGAUGAACUUGGAGCAGAUACUUCAGUGCUUGUGGCAAUCAACUUAUGCCUAUUUCUAUAUCGACGAAAUAAUUCAGUUCUCAGUACUUUGGUGAAGCCAUCAGCUAAUUGCAUCGCUGUAGGAACAUAUUUGAUUUGCAGUGAACCUUUCUCUAGUAAUUCUUUUACAAAGUAAUAUGCAAUAUCAAUAUGUCUUGACCUGCUAGUUAUUGUUGGAUUAGUUGCCAUGUAGAUGGCUGAUUUGUUAUCAUACAACAAUAAAGGUAGUUUGGAAAAUUUUAAGUUUAAUUCCCGUAAUAAAAGACAGAACCACCUAAUCUCAGAGGUAACAUGUGAGAUAGACUUAAACUCAGCUUCUGCACUAGACAAGGAAACUGAGGGUUGCUUCUUUGCAGACCAUGACACCAAGUUUCCAUUCAGCCAAAUACUAGAACCUGUGAUGGACCUUCUGUCCAUGGUUGCCCCCCCAAUCAGAAUCACAAUAAGCCUAUAGAGUUAUGUUCUGACUCUCAUUUGCAGUGAAUCUCAACCCCAUAUUUGAGGUAUCUCUGAGGUAUCUAAAUACUCUUUUUAUUGCUUGUGACCCUCUAAUGGAUUAUGAAGAUGUUGAAAAAUUUGAUUUACUGCAAAAAAAAUAUUGGGCCUUAUCAUACUCAGAUACUGUAAGGACCCUACCAUGCUUCUGAAUAAUGUAAUAUCCUGAACUAAUUCUCCUGUAAUCUCAUACAUUCUAGGAGAUGGUAUCAUUGGAGUAUUUGCUGGUCUGGCCUUAUCAAAUCCAUAUCUUACUAAUAGAUCAUUGAUGUAUUUUUCCUGAGAUAUGACCAUUAACGAGCCUAUGUAGCAACAUUCAAUUCCUAAAAACAAAUUCAACCUUCCCAACUCUCUACAAGAGAAUUCUGUACAAAUUACUUUAAUGACUCUCAUGACAUCUUAUGAAUCCUCUCUAGUGACAAUGAUAUCAUCAACAUAUACUAAAAUAAUUAUCUUAGACAAUGUUGAAUCCUUGAAAAACAUAGACGCAUCAGUCUUCGAGUUUGUGAAUCCACUCUGAACUAGAAAAGUAUGUAACCUCAUGUACCAGUCCCUUGGUGCCUGCUUUAACCCAUAGAUGGCCUUAUGUAAUAAACAUACAUCCUUUGGCUUAUUUUUGUCCACAAAUCCAAUUUGUUGUUUCAUGUAGACUGUCUCUUGCAACACACCAUUAAGAAACGCAUUUCUCACAUAAAACUGUUGUAGCUCCCAACCAAAAUUUAUAGCCAAUGACAUUACUGUCCUUACUGUUGUAAUUUUUAUAACAAGGUUGCAAGUAUAGUAAAAAUCAGUACCCUCUUCUUGUGUAAAUCCCUUGGAAACCAAUCUAUCCUUCAACUUGUCAAUUGUUCCAUCAGCCUUCUUUUUGACCUUAUAAACCCAUUUAGAGCCUACUAUAUUCAUAUCAGGAGAAUAGAGAACCAGAGUCCAUAUUUUGUAAACAUGAAGUGCAUCUAUUUCUUCUUUCAUGGCUUCAAACCAGCAUCUCUGUUUAAUCGCCUUUGAAUAAGAUAAUGGCUCACACAAAGAAUUUAUAUUAGAUAUAUUAGUGGAGUAAGAACAGUCAAAAUCCUUUAAAGUUACAUUGGGGAUUUUCAUUCUAACAGACCUUCUCAGAUUAUUGUUGGCUAUAUUUCUGGAAAGUUCAAUAACAGACCUAUCUAUUUGAGGUACAUCAUCCGAUGGACUAUCAGGAAUAGUUAAUUCACAACCACCCCUAUCAGAGGAUGAUGAUAAAUCAGAAGACCCUUCAACUGGACUAGUUGAUGAAUCAAGAGACACUCCAUCUAAACUGGAAUCAGAGGAUGUACUUGACUGACCUUGUUUAGAAGACCUUAAUAAGAUAUCAGUUUUAUUAGGAGACCCAUAUGAUUGAUUUACCUCAUUUUCAGAAGUUACUGGUGAAUUUCUGUUUUCAUUCAUUCUAUUUUUAUUUAUAGGCAAAGAUAUAGUGAGUCUGGUGGAUUGUUGAUUUUGUGGAGUGUGAAUUGUGGAAUCUACAGUGUGUACUUUGCUUUUCUCAAGGUAUGGUUUUUCAAAAAAAGAAAAUGCAAACAUAUCAAAUAUAACAUCUCUGGACAUUGUUAUUUUUGGUGUAUCUAGAUGUAAACAUCUAUACCCUUUCUUUUGGGUGGCAUAACCUAAGAAUACACAUUUAGUAGCUUUGGGUUGCAAUUUAUUUCUUUGAUGUCUAGGAAUGAGUGGGAAACAAAGACAACCUAUGGUUUUCAAGAGAAUGUAAUUAGGUUUCUUUUUUAAUAGUAUUUCAAAUGGUGUUUUGUUUUCUAACAUAGAGGUUGGUAGUCUGUUCAAGAUAAAGACAACAGAGGUAAAUACCUCUGGCCAGUACAUAUAUGGAAUCCUUGAUUGUGCAAAAAUACACCUACUCAUUUCCACUAUUUGUCUGUGUCUUCUUUCUACAAUCCCAUGUUGUUAUGGAGUAUAUGCGCAAGACAUUCUAUGUAUGAUCCCUUUUUCCUGAAGUAAUUCUCUAAUUUUCUGAUUUAAAAACUCUCUUCCCAUAUCUGUUUGGAUUUCCUUAAUUCUAUUUUCCAGUAAAUUAUUGGUGAGACAUGCCUGAACACGUCAGUCACUCCCAGCAACGCCCUUCGACAAGGAAUAGGGUUCCGUCGCUAUAUGCCGGACCCCCGGAAAGGCUUCCACGGUGCGGAGCACGUGUCUACGUCAAGAGUUCAAGCUAACACUUGGGAGUCGCCGAUUGGGACUACCAAGUCGCCGACUCCAGGGGGGAAUCGCCAACUCUAGGCCUCGUGGACAGCUCUGGUAGGCUGCCACUAGGCUCAUGGGGAGUCGGCGAUUGAACCUCUGGAUCGGCGAUUCCCAUACCUGAAUCGCCGACUCCCAGCCGUUACUUGAGCGGACUCUCGCCAUUAAGGCAUUCCUUAUUGGGGUACCUUAAUGGCGUGGGCCGCACUCGAAUGAAUGGGUAAACGUCCCCCAAGACCCUAUAAAAGGGGUCCUUGGGGGACCUCUACCCUCAACUCACUCUCUUGACACACACUCCAACCAGAGCAAUCCAAGGAGCCCGAAUCGCCUACUCCCAAGGGAGUCGCCGAUUCCCCUCCUCUUCUGCAGGUAUAUUGACGUAGAGCGCGCGUCGUGGACUCCAAAGCCUCCGGCCCUCCUCGCAACCCCGCGAGCCUACUGGUAGCAGAUUCCGUGCUUCAUCAAUUAUCAACCUGUUUCUGAAAUAUUAUGAACACCUUGUAGAAAUCUGACUUCUUAUUCAUUGGGAUAAUCCAAGUAAAUCUAAAAAAUUCAUCCACAAAAGAUGCAUAAUAAAGAAAAGAAUGAGCUAAAUUAACUGGGGCAGGAUACUACAAAUUAACAUGUAUUAAUUCUAAUGGUUUAUUACAUGUGGAAGUACUCCUUGUAUAUGGUAAUCUAUGUGCUUUACCAAGAGGACAUAUAUGACAUACACUAUUCUUUUCUUUAACCGUGGAAUUAAUGGACAAGGUAUUAUUCAACUUUUGAAAUAUAGACUCUGAAGUAUGUCCUAGCCUGGAAUGCCACACUUAUUUAGUAGUCUUCACUCCAUAGUUUGCCAUCAAGUCUAUACCCAGAUGAUAUAAGCCACCAUAACUACUGCCAGAAAAUAGUGUCUCCUUGGUAUGCAGGUCCUUCACCAAAAAACCAUUCUUGUUAAACAAAAUUAUACAAUCCAGAUCAUGAGACAACUUCUGAAUAGAUAAAAGACUCUUCUUUAGACCAGGUAGAUGCAAAACAUUAUUUAUAAUAAAUCUUUUACCACUUCUCAUUAGACAAAUUGAACCUUUAUGAAUAAUUUUCAACACCACCACUUCCAACAAUAACAGAUUGUUUACCUGCAAAUUGCUCAUAUGCUGUGAAAGCACUUAAAUCAGGGGUCAUAUGGCUAGAUGCUCCUGAAUCCAAACACCAGGAGUUAUCAUUGCUCUAAGCUGAUGCAGACAUUGCCAAAAUAGGAGAUGAAUCAUUGAACUGAGGCUGAGAAAUAGAUGCUUGCUGACCAGAUUCUAUAACUAUCAUUUCUGCCAGAUGAGCUGAGAAAUUAUUUAAAUCAGGACAUGUCUUAGCUAGAUGUCCUUUCUUGUCACAUAUUUGAUAAGCAAAAUUCUGGUCUAUAGUGGAUGGUGUUUGCAAAAUGGGUGGUAAUUGUAGACUUGUUAUUGCAGGAACACUAGAUUGAUAAGUUGGUUGUGACGGUGCUCUCUGAACAUUGGAUCUUGGUUGAUAACUUGGUUGAAACUGAGCUCUUGAUGGAUUCUGAAAAUACUGUCCAGAAUUGUAACCAAAUUGUGGUCUGGCUCUGUAAAAAUUCUGUCCUGGUUGAUUAUAACCAUUGUAGAAUUGAGCACCAUUAUAUGCUCCAUUAUAUCUUCCAUAAAAAUUGUUUGGAGGACCAUAAUUGUGAUUUCCAAAAUUCUGAUAUCCAUUUCCUGUUCCAUUGUAAUUACCUUGCUGAUGGAAAUUUAAAUUCUGACUGCCAUAACCAUGUCCAUCUCUUCCUUUUCCAAAAUUCUGAUUAUUUCCUCUGGGUUGAUAAUAGGCAGCAAAUCGGGAGAGCAGAAUAAAUAAUCGUAAGUGAGAGAACUUUAAAGGAAAUUAAACUGAAAAAUACCUGUAAGUGGAAUGCCCAAUCAAUCCUUACAAACUUCCUUAUAUAAGGCAUUAGUUGGAUACUAAAUCGGAUAUAUUGGAUCCGAUUAACCUGGUACUGUUUCCUCUUUCAGAGAAGCCUCGUUGGUGCCCUUCAAUACUUAACUAUUUCCCGCCCUGAUAUCAUUUUCGACAUGAACCAAAUAUGUAAAUUUAUGCAAGAUCUACAUGACGUUCGAUCAUCUGAAAGCAGCAAAGCGUAUCCUUCUCUACAUUAGACGAAUUCUUUUCCUUGGUCUCCGUUUUCGCCUGUCGAUGGAUACUGAAAGAAUUCCAAGAGGCCGGAUUCCGGUGAUCACCGGAGAGAUAGAUAAGAGGAAGGAAGAAGGAUUGACCUUGGUCAAAACUUUUAUAUUGAAAAUAUAAAAAAUGAAAGGUAAAGUAAAUUUUACAUCUAUAGGUAUAUAUAUACUAUGUUUUGGGUUAUUUAUUGGAUAACCCCUAACUAUGUCUAGUGUAACCUAUUAGAUACCACCAUCACAACGUGGGUUGACUCUGAUUGGGCAUGUGAUCCAGAUUAUCGUCGAUCAACCACUAGAUCGCGACUCUACCUAGGUCCCAAUUUAAUCUCCUGGCUAUCGAAGAAGCAAGUGACGGUCUCCCACUCAUCUGCAGAAGCAGAAUACCGUGCUAUUGUAUACUCCACCGCCGAAUUGAGUUGGUUCUUCUCGUUGCUUCGCGAUCUUGGUAUCUUUAUUCCGAAGCUCUCCCCGACUAUUGAUUGACAUCAAAUCGGCGAUUUUCAUGAUCUCCAAUACCGUCGUACCAAAUCGAACACGGCAUAUACCGUCGUGGAUGUCUUUACAAAGGCACUCUCCUCAAUCUAGUCGGAGUUCCUCCAUCGAGAUUGACGGAGAGUAUUAGAGUAAACUAUUAGUUCAAGGGUCUACUUACAAAUAACCCCAAAACUUUUAGAUUACAAGUAUAAAUAUACCACACAUGUAAUCCUCUUUUCCUCUCAUUUCUUGAAUGAUGAUAAAUUACGGAUCUCAAAAAUUAAAAUAACUCAUUUACAAAUGAAGUAAUUACAAAAGAAAAGUGGAGUAAUCUUAUAUAUUUAAAGCACGGUGAAUAUGAAUAAACUUACAGUCACAAAGCAAAUAUCAUUUUAUUGAAGAAUAAAUGAGUGAGUUGAGAGACGGUUUAUUUGCUACAAUUUCCAUGGAGUCAUAAAUCAUGAGAGAUGGUAGGAGGAAUAGAUAGAUUUAACCAUGGAAUUAUAAAAACAGAUCACUAAUUCAACUUACAUCGCAGAGUUAAAACAUGGUUCGUUUCCUGAAUCCCUAAGAGCAAAUAAAAUUGCAAAUCUAAAGCAUAGAAGCCAGAAGAAACAAAUAUUUACUAGCUUGCUUGAUGGUGGUUAACUGGUAUGUUUUGAAGAGAAAUGAUUAGAUUUUGUUUAAGAAAACUUUUGAACAAACAGCAGCUUCCAGAUGAUGGGAUUCCGAAUAUAGCAGCACACCGGAAAGAGGAGGAAGAAGAGAGAAGCUUCUAGAUGGGUUCUCGAAUAUAGCACUUGACACUUGACAGGAAAGAGGAGGAAGAAGAUAGUAGCUUCCCGAUGGAUUUCCUAAUAUUAUCAUUCACUCAUUAAUUAAUAGUAUAAAUUGUUUAUAAACCAAUUAUUAAUUUCACAUUCAAUUCCAUGGAAAAGAUUAAUAGAUGAUUAUUUAAAUCUUUAGAAAGUAAUAAAAUAUUACAAUUACAAUAGUAUAUAAGCAUACAAACGCCAUUGACCCCCUU
rnacentral:lncRNA from 1 species